rnacentral:rRNA from 1 species
AUUGAACGCUGGCGGCAUGCUUUACACAUGCAAGUCGAACGGUAGAGGGGGCAACCCCUUGAGAGUGGCGAACGGGUGAGUAAUGCAUCGGAACGUGCCCAGUCGUGGGGGAUAGCCCGGGGAAACCCGGAUUAAUACCGCAUACGACCUGAGGGUGAAAGCGGGGGACCGAAAGGCCUCGCGCGAUUGGAGCGGCCGAUGUCGGAUUAGGUAGUUGGUGGGGUAAAGGCCUACCAAGCCUGCGAUCCGUAGCUGGUCUGAGCGGACGACCAGCCACACUGGGACUGGGACACGGCCCAGACUCCUACGGGAGGCAGCAGUGGGGAAUUUUGGACAAUGGGCGCAAGCCUGAUCCAGCCAUGCCGCGUGCGGGAAGAAGGCCUUCGGGUUGUAAACCGCUUUUGUCAGGGAAGAAAUCCUUUGGACUAAUACUCUGGGGGGAUGACGGUACCUGAAGAAUAAGCACCGGCUAACUACGUGCCAGCAGCCGCGGUAA